ACAGGAUAACCUAAAUGGGCCCUGGUGGCCCUUUGUUAUCCUAUUAUUUAUGUUAUAUGUUAUGUUAAGUGAAUAAAUGUAAAAUGUCAGCUUGAUCAGUAUAAUUAUAAAACCACAAGAGAACCACAAGUUGAGGAGCAUUAGGACUCAUGGGAACAGUAAUUGUAAGAAUAUUUAAGGCCCUUGUAGUGUCAUAGACAAGACAUCAUACCCUAAUCAUAUAAUAGACAGACAGCUUACUAUCUGGAAGACAGAAUGAUAACCAAAGUUUCAUGAAAAAGACAGAGCAGACAGGGAACUAUAUUGUGGUAUAUUCUCCUGGGGCAGCUCUGGAGCACAUACUAUAUGCAGCCAGCAGAGGGGAGUGGGGUGAAGACCUGGCUGGAGAAGGCCUUUGUCUCAAAAUGUGGGUAGCCGUGGAAAGAUUCCUUCAUCAGGGUUCAGGAAGAAAUGGAUCAUUCUUCUCCUUUCAUGAUUUGCAUCUGUAGCAUUUGCACGAUACAUUUGAGAUUUCUGAUAGUCACCUGGGUUCAUCCUUAAAUGGUGGCACAUCUUUGGGUAAAUGUUAUUAAUGUCACCAGUAUGUGAUGAGUGAGCCACCUGAGGAGAAUGAGAGGGAAACUCUUACAGAAUGAUGGACCAAUAGUGCUCAUCACACAGGGAAGAUGGGAGAGUAAGAAGACUGGAAUUAGACAAUGUAGUUUUCAAAUUCUUGUUCCUUUUGUGUCCCUUUUUGAAGGAACUGAAGAGGCAUCAAAACAAUAACAUAACAAAAAGUAGUCACAAGUCAUGACCUCUACUUUUAAAAAUAAACAAAAGAACAGACCAUCUCAUUUCUUCCUUUAUUUAGCAAACUUCAACAUUACAGAUGCAACAGUAAAAAACUAGACAAAAUAGAUAAUCACUCUGCAGGUGAUGAGUGCCAAGGCUGUCCCUUCCAGCCAGCCACAUGACACACUGAACAACACUUGCCACAGGGACACACAGACACAGAGAAAGAUAGCAGCUCUCUACCAAGACUAGGUAUGCUUCAAAUCCAUCACUGUAUCACUAGGCCAAUGAGUGCCAAGGAGAGAGCAAUUUCUUGCCUCCCUUAUCUACUUCCCUCCCAAGAUUGUAUGGUACAUUAAAAAUGUUCACACAAGUAUAUAUUGUAGAAUCUAUGUAUUUAUAAUCAGUGAGAACUUGUAGUUUGUAUAGAAUUAAAUAAAAAAAGAGGAGGAAUGACUUUGAAACAAUAUAUUUACUAUAUAUACUUAUCUUGAUAAAGGUGUAAUAGCUCAUUACAUUGCUGAACUCUUCUCAAAAUUUAGCCUAUUAGCAAUAAGCUGAUAUAUCUGGUAAUCAGAAGCUGCUUUAGCAUGCUUGUUCAUCUUUUUCUUUGUCUGCAUGUCUGUCUAUUCUUUCUCUCUCUCUCUCUCUCUCUCUCUCUCUCUCUCUCUCUCUCUCUCUCUCUCUCUCUCUCUCUCUCUCUCUCUCU